CCCAAUCAGUAAUCUAAGUUGAUUAUCGAUCUACUCAGAUCUCGCAAAUAACCAACCUAGCCAAUUUUGACAACAAGAACCUUCGAGACAAUACAAGUGCAGAUUUACCGGCUACUUUUCAGGCCUAAAACACUGCACAACAGGUUCUUAUCAAACCUUAAUCACACAACUGGAUUAUCAAAAUAGAUCAAGAUUACAAAUCUUAGAGAAGACGAACAGAGGCU
rnacentral:lncRNA from 1 species